rnacentral:rRNA from 1 species
AUACGUAGGGGGCGAGCGUUGUCCGGAAUGAUUGGGCGUAAAGGGCGCGUAGGCGGCCCGGUAAGUCUGGAGUGAAAGUCCUGUUUUUAAGAUGGGAAUUGCUUUGGAUACUGUCGGGCUUGAGUGCAGGAGAGGUAAGUGGAAUUCCCAGUGUAGCGGUGAAAUGCGUAGAGAUUGGGAGGAACACCAGUGGCGAAGGCGACUUACUGGACUGUAACUGACGCUGAGGCGCGAAAGUGUGGGGAGCAAACAGGAUUAGAUACCCUGGUAGUCCACACUGUAAACGAUGAAUACUAGGUGUAGGGGGUAUCGACUCCCUCUGUGCCGCAGUUAACACAAUAAGUAUUCCGCCUGGGGAGUACGGCCGCAAGGUUGAAAAUCAAAUGAAUUGGCGGG